rnacentral:rRNA from 1 species
UGAGCGGAGAUAUAUGGAGCUUGCUUUAUAUAACUUAGCAGCGAACGGGUGAGUAACACGUAGAUAAUCUAUCCUAUACUGGGGGAUAGCCCGAUGAAAGUUGGAUUAAUACCGCAUAUAGCUAUAUAGUUGCAUGAUUAUGUAGUGAAAGAUUUAUUGGUAUAGGAGGAGUCUGCGGCACAUUAGCUAGUAGGUGAGGUAAAGGCUUACCUAGGCGACGAUGUGUAGCCGGUCUGAGAGGAUGAACGGCCACAAUGGAACUGAGACACGGUCCAUACUCCUACGGGAGGCAGCAGUGGGGAAUAUUGCACAAUGGGGGAAACCCUGAUGCAGCAACGCCGCGUGAGUGAAGAAGGUUUUCGGAUUGUAAAGCUCUGUUAGCAGGGAAGAGGAAGGACGGUACCUGCAGAGGAAGCCACGGCUAACUACGUGCCAGCAGCCGCGGUAAUACGUAGGUGGCAAGCGUUGUUCGGAAUAACUGGGCGUAAAGGAUGCGUAGGCGGUUAAACAAGUUAUAUGUUAAAUAUAUAGGCUUAACCUGUAGAAAGCAUAUAAAACUGUUUAACUAGAGUGCAGGAGAGGUAAGUGGAAUUCCUAGUGUAGCGGUGAAAUGCGUAGAGAUUAGGAAGAACACCAGUGGCGAAGGCGACUUACUGGACUGUAACUGACGCUGAGGCAUGAGAGCAUGGGGAGCAAACAGGAUUAGAUACCCUGGUAGUCCAUGCUGUAAACGAUGGGUACU